UAUAGAUAUAGCUUCAGAUAUUAGUUAGAUACAAAAAUACAAAUUGAUAUAUGAUAAAAGUAUAUUUGUCACAUCAGAUCUAGAUACAGAUUUGGAAAUUUGUUGGAUACGAAAAUAAAAAAUGUAAAAAUAUACUCGAAUAAGGAUUGGAUAUUAAACGGAUAUAUCGAAUGAAUAUAUAAAUUUAAAUCAUAAAAAGAUUUGUCUAUGAAUUUUCAAUUUUGUAAAAUUUAUUAAAAAAAUAUUGAAUAUAUUAAGAUUAUAAAUAAUAAUAAUAAUGUUGAAUAUGCACUCAACCAAAAUGUUACAUGUUGAGACCAUACCAAAAUAAGUUUGGACUUAGAUAUUUUGACUCCAAAAGAAAAAUAUAAUGAACCGGAAUCCAAAUUCAAAUUAGAAGAAUUUGUAACUUGACAUCUGACUCAUAGAGAAAUUUUAAUCCAUGAAUUUGGAAACUGAUCGAGUUGAUCUGUUCUCACUCCUACCAUUUGGGGCGUGUUUGGUUUAAAGUCGAAAUCAAUAUCGGAAUCGAAAUGAAAAUAAAUCGAAAACAAAAUCAAAAUGAUUCAUUAUCAAUGUAUGAGUUAUAAUGCUGUUAGGCGAAUAUAAGUUGGAAUAAAAGCAUAUAAAAAAAAUAUAUUUUUUGAUAAGGUCAAAAAAAUAUAUAUCUUAUUUGGCUGAUUAUGAUAUAUACAAUGUAAUAUUA
rnacentral:lncRNA from 1 species